CCUACGGGCGGCAGCAGUGGGGAAUAUUGGGCAAUGGGCGCAAGCCUGACCCAGCAACGCCGCGUGAAGGAAGAAGGCUUUCGGGUUGUAAACUUCUUUUAAGAGGGAAGAGCAGAAGACGGUACCUGACGAAUAAGCCACGGCUAACUACGUGCCAGCAGCCGCGGUAAUACGUAGGUGGCAAGCGUUAUCCGGAUUUACUGGGUGUAAAGGGCGUGUAGGCGGGACUGCAAGUCAGAUGUGAAAACCACGGGCUCAACCUGUGGCCUGCAUUUGAAACUGUAGUUCUUGAGUACUGGAGAGGCAGACGGAAUUCCUAGUGUAGCGGUGAAAUGCGUAGAUAUUAGGAGGAACACCAGUGGCGAAGGCGGUCUGCUGGACAGCAACUGACGCUGAGGCGCGAAAGCGUGGGGAGCAAACAGGAUUAGAUACCCGAGUAGUC
rnacentral:rRNA from 1 species